rnacentral:rRNA from 1 species
AGCGAACGCUGGCGGCAGGCUUAACACAUGCAAGUCGAGCGGGCAUCCUUGUGGUGUCCGCGGCAGACGGGUGAGUAACGCGUGGGAACGUGCCCUUCGGUUCGGAAUAACUCAGGGAAACUUGAGCUAAUACCGGAUACGUGCGAGAGCAGAAAGGUUUAUCUGCCGAAGGAUCGGCCCGCGUCUGAUUAGCUAGUUGGUGAGGUUAUGGCUCACCAAGGCGACGAUCAGUAGCUGGUUUGAGAGGAUGAUCAGCCACACUGGGACUGAGACACGGCCCAGACUCCUACGGGAGGCAGCAGUGGGGAAUAUUGGACAAUGGGGGCAACCCUGAUCCAGCCAUGCCGCGUGAGUGAUGACGGCCUUAGGGUUGUAAAGCUCUUUUCUCCGGGACGAUAAUGACGGUACCGGAGGAAUAAGCCCCGGCUAACUUCGUG